rnacentral:ncRNA from 1 species
ACAAAAACCAUGAUGGUGCACAAAGGAAUUGCAACUGCAUGUAGAGAGACGGGAUCGUUGGCUGAAAGUCCUGUUAUGUUAAGACAGUUCUCAUAUUCACACCGGAGUUUCAUUUUUGAAGACUUUAUAGUUGUGUAGAAAAUGACGUUAUACGCGUUAAGUAUUUGAGAGUCGAUCAUUUAACUUAAUUGAUCGGAAUGCGGGUGGUACCGCGGAAGAUGUAUAUUCCGUCCCGGAG